CCUACGGGAGGCUGCAGUAGGGAAUAUUGCUCAAUGGGGGAAACCCUGAAGCAGCAACGCCGCGUGGAGGAUGAAGGUUUUCGGAUUGUAAACUCCUUUUGUUAGAGAAGAUAAUGACGGUAUCUAACGAAUAAGCACCGGCUAACUCCGUGCCAGCAGCCGCGGGAAUACGGAGGGUGCAAGCGUUACUCGGAAUCACUGGGCGUAAAGAGCGCGUAGGCGGGAUAGCAAGUCAGAUGUGAAAUCCUAUGGCUUAACCAUAGAACUGCAGUUGAAACUGUUAUUCUAGAGUAUGGGAGAGGUAGGUGGAAUGCUUGGUGUAGGGGUAAAAUCCGUAGAGAUCAAGAGGAAUACUGAUUGCGAAGGCGACCUGCUAGAACAUAACUGACGCUGAUGCGCGAAAGCGUGGGGAGCAAACAGGAUUAGAUACCCCUGUAGUC
rnacentral:rRNA from 1 species